rnacentral:tRNA from 1 species
GGCAGUGUAGUCCAGUGAGCAGGGCACUAGACUGGCUCUCAGGACACCUGGGUUCCAUUCCCAGCUCUGCCA